rnacentral:rRNA from 1 species
UGGGGAAUAUUGGACAAUGGGCGAAAGCCUGAUCCAGCCAUGCCGCGUGUGUGAAGAAGGUCUUCGGAUUGUAAAGCACUUUAAGUUGGGAGGAAGGGCAGUAAGCGAAUACCUUGCUGUUUUGACGUUACCGACAGAAUAAGCACCGGCUAACUCUGUGCCAGCAGCCGCGGUAAUACAGAGGGUGCAAGCGUUAAUCGGAAUUACUGGGCGUAAAGCGCGCGUAGGUGGGUCGUUAAGUUGAAUGUGAAAGCCCCGGGCUCAACCUGGGACCUGCCUCCAAAACUGGCGAGCUAGAGUAGGGCAGAGGGUGGUGGCAUUUCCUGUGUAGCGGUGACAUGCGUAGGUAUAGGAAGGAACACCAGUGGCGAAGGCGACCACCUGGGCUCAUACUGACACUGAGGUGCGAAAGCGUGGGGAGCAAACAGG